rnacentral:rRNA from 1 species
AAUCUGGGGUCCCCCGACCCCCGAGUUGUAAUUUGGAGAGGCAUCUUCGGGGGGGAGCGCUGGCCCAUGUUCCUUGGAACAGGACGUCGCAGAGGGUGAGAAUCCCGUGCCAGGCCGGCUGCCUCCUCCCAGGUGGAGGGCCUUCGACGAGUCGAGUUGUUUGGGAAUGCAGCUCCAAGUGGGUGGUAAAUUUCAUCUAAAGCUAAAUACCGGCGGGAGACCGAUAGCGCACAAGUAGAGUGAUCGAAAGAUGAAAAGCACUUUGAAAAUAGAGUCAAAAAGUACGUGAAAUUGUUGAAAGGGAAGCGCUUGAGACCAGACUCAGACCCGAGCAAACACCGCGCCCCUCGGGGCCGUGCAAUUGCCUGGGGCUGGGCCAGCAUCAGUUGGCGUGGCGGGACAAAGGCGCGGGGAAUGUGGCUCCCCUCGGGGAGUGUUAUUAGGCCCGCGCUCAAUGCCGCCGCCGCCGACUGAGGACCGCGCCUCGGCUAGGAUGCUGGCAUAAUGGCCUUCAGCGACCCGUCUUGAAACACGGACCAAGGAGUCUAACAUCUAUGCGAGUGUUUGGGCGUCAAACCCUUGCGCGGAAUGAAAGUGAGCGGAGGUGGGAACCCCUUCGCAGGGCGCACCAUCGACCGAUCCUGAUGUCUUCGGAUGGAUUUGAGUA